CACCAUGAAUCCAUUCCUGAUCCUUGCCUUUGUGGGAGCUGCUGCCGCAUCCAGGUGAGACUGGGAGAGCACAACAUCAAAGUCCUGGAGGGGAAUGAGCAGUUCAUCAAUGCGGCCAAGAUCAUCCGCCACCCCAAAUACAACAGGGACACUCUGGACAAUGACAUCAUGCUGAUCAAACUCUCCUCACCUG
rnacentral:sRNA from 1 species